rnacentral:rRNA from 1 species
AGCGAACGCUGGCGGCAGGCCUAACACAUGCAAGUCGAACGAAGCCUUCGGGCUUAGUGGCGGACGGGUGAGUAACACGUGGGAACGUACCUUUUGGUUCGGAACAACUCAGGGAAACUUGAGCUAAUACCGGAUGAGCCCUUAGGGGGAAAGAUUUAUCGCCGAAAGAGCGGCCCGCGUUAGAUUAGCUAGUUGGUGAGGUAAAGGCUCACCAAGGCUACGAUCUAUAGCUGGUCUGAGAGGAUGAUCAGCCACACUGGGACUGAGACACGGCCCAGACUCCUACGGGAGGCAGCAGUGGGGAAUCUUGCGCAAUGGGCGAAAGCUUGACGCAGCCAUGCCGCGUGAAUGAUGAAGGUCUUAGGAUUGUAAAAUUCUUUUACCAGGGACGAUAAUGACGGUACCUGGAGGAAAAGCCCCGGCUAACUUCGUGCCAGCAGCCGCCGUAAAAC